UGGGUCUCAGAGAAAACUCCCCUUCUCUCUCUGGGGAAGAUCUCGGUGGGACCUCCA
rnacentral:pre_miRNA from 1 species